rnacentral:rRNA from 1 species
UACGUAGGGUGCGAGCGUUGUCCGGAAUUAUUGGGCGUAAAGAGCUCGUAGGCGGUUUGUUGCGUCGGCCGUGAAAACUCAGGGCUUAACUCUGAGCCUGCGGUCGAUACGGGCAGACUUGAGUUCGGUAGGGGAGACUGGAAUUCCUGGUGUAGCGGUGAAAUGCGCAGAUAUCAGGAGGAACACCGGUGGCGAAGGCGGAUCUCUGGGCCUUACCUGACGCUCAGGUGCGAAAGCUAGGGGAGCGAACAGG